AGAGUUUGAUUCUGGCUCAGGAUGAACGCUGGCGGCGUGCUUAACACAUGCAAGCGAACGAGGUUCAUUUUACGAUCCCCUUCGGGGGUGACGAGUUUGAACCGAGUGGCGGACGGGUGAGUAACGCGUGGGUAACCCUGCCCCAUACAGGGGGAUAACAGUUGGAAACGACCGACAAUACCGCAUAAGCGCACAGGGAGGCAUCUCCUGGUGUGAAAAAAUUCCGGUGGUAUGGGAUGGGGCCCGCGUCUGAUUAGCUAGUUGGCAGGGUAAACGGCCUACCAAGGCGACGAUCAGUAGCCGACCUGAGAGGGUGACCGGCCACAUUGGGACUGAGACACGGCCCAGACUCCUACGGGAGGCAGCAGUGGGGAAUAUUGCACAAUGGGCGAAAGCCUGAUGCAGCCGACGCCGCGUGAGUGAUGAAGUAUUUCGGUAUGUAAAGCUCUAUCAGCAGGGAAGAAGAUGACGGUACCUGCACAAGAAGCCCCGGCUAACUACGUGCCAGCCGCCGC
rnacentral:rRNA from 1 species